UGGCGCACGGGUGCGUAACGCGUAUGCAACUUGCCUCACAGAGGGGGAUAACCCGUCGAAAGACGGACUAAUACCGCGUACACUCCACUUUGGGCAUCCAAAGUAGAGGAAAUGAAAUUCGCUGUGAGAUAGGCAUGCGUCCCAUUAGCUAGUUGGUGAGGUAACGGCUCACCAAGGCGACGAUGGGCAGGGGAACUGAGAGGUUGAACCCCCACACUGGUACUGAGACACGGACCAGACUCCUACGGGAGGCAGCAGUGAGGAAUAUUGGUCAAUGGGCGAGAGCCUGAACCAGCCACGUCGCGUGAAGGAUGACUGUCUUAUGGAUUGUAAACUUCUUUUAUACGGGAAUAACAAGAGUCACGUGUGGCUCCCUGCAUGUACCGUAUGAAUAAGCAUCGGCUAACUCCGUGCCAGCAGCCGCGGUAAUACGGAGGAUGCGAGCGUUAUCCGGAUUUAUUGGGUUUAAAGGGUGCGUAGGCGGCCUGUUAAGUCAGCGGUGAAAUCUAGGAGCUUAACUCCUAAAUUGCCAUUGAUACUGGCGGGCUUGGGUGUAGAUGAGGUAGGCGGAAUGCGUGGUGUAGCGGUGGAAUGCAUAGAUAUCGCGCAGAACUCCGAUUGCGAAGGCAGCUUACUAAGGUACAACUGACGCUGAAGCACGAAAGCGUGGGUAUCAAACAGGAUUAGAUACCCUGGUAGUCCAC
rnacentral:rRNA from 1 species